GAGCGAGAAAACCAAUGUCAAGGAACUCUGCAAAUUCAUCCCGUAAGUUCGCAAGAAGGGAUGCCCACCCUAAAAAGUGGGCCGCAGUGAAUAGUAAGGGGGAACUGUUUAUCAAAAACACAGCUCUAUGCUAAGUCGUAAGACGAUGUAUAUGGGGUGACUCCUGCCCAGUGCCCGAAGGUUAAGCAAAGGUGUUAGCUUUAGCGAAGCAUUGAUGUGAAGCCCGGGUGAACGGCGGCCGUAACUAUAACGGUCCUAAG
rnacentral:rRNA from 1 species